UUUGUACUUCCUCCGUUCGGAAUUACUUGUCACAAAAAUGAAUGUAUCUACAACUAAGAUACAUCUAGAUACAUUCAGUUUUCGGACGAGUAAUUCCGAACGGAGGGAGUAGAUC
rfam:Triticum aestivum genome assembly, contig: Triticum_aestivum_CS42_TGACv1_scaffold_032228_1BL